rnacentral:lncRNA from 1 species
AGGGGAGUACUCAGUUUUCUUUUGCAUUUUAAUAUUUCCUAUACAUUGAGGACAAUGCAUGAUUUAGGUGUGGGGGUGCAUAUUUCUGAAUCUUUAUUUUUGUUUAUUUUUGCUUUGAUUUUCAGUUUGAAUUUUUUUUUUCAUUUUCAGUGUGAUUUUUUUCAAUUUUUCGUUUUUGCUUUCAAUAACACACACAACCACAGUCUUCUUCCUUUUUGU